CUCUUUUUCAAAGAAGCCAACACCUAAGUUCUCUUCAAACUUCUCUCUUUCUCUCUCCCUCUUCCUCUUCUUCAUAAGUUUAGGGAAGGUACUAACCCUAGCAUAACAUAUUUCUCCAUAGAUCCCUUUUCUAUAUCCCAUCAAAUCUAGGAGAGGUUCUAAUCCUAAUGCCGCUAUCCUUUCUCUGUUACAUAUCCGCUUCCAUCAAUUUUUCUUCCUUGGAGUUCCUGUAUCAAGCCUUCCAGCCAUCCUGUCGCUGUCUACAUGGAGGAAGACGAAGGAUUCAAGGAGAUACAUCUACCAUCGGGUGCAGCA
rnacentral:lncRNA from 1 species